UCAGCACUUAAUCCUGUAAGGUUGCAUUUUUCUUCAGACACAUCAAUUAAAACGACAUAUUGCAGCAAAUUGAAUACAGAAGCAGAUAUGAGAAAGUAACUACCUUUUAUUAUGACAAAUGUUAGAGAGGCUUAAAAAAAACUGGAGGCCGUGUUUGCUCUCUCGGUAGCUACUUUUCCUUUGUUUUGAGAGCAGCUUCUUGUUACAGAAUAGAAAUAUCAUUUAUGUUAUUUUAUCAUUUAUGAUUUUUAUGCUAGCAUGUCACAAAUUCAUGAUUUGAUUGAAAGAGAUGGCUGCACGAAUACUUUAAAAUACUUUGUUUUAACCCCUAAAUAUGGUCCUUGCACGGGUUGAUGUAGGCAGUAUAAACGUGGGCUCUUGAGUGUUCUUGACAAUUCAUAAGAGUAGAAAAGAGUCUCUAGGCCCAGGGUUUGGGCAUCUCUAUCCUAUUGUGAAAUAUCUCAGAAGCAGAGCUCUCUUGAAGGUUGGCCUUUUUCAUGUGCAGGGUGACACUAGAAGGAACAUUUGCUCUGAGCCAGCAGCACGACUCCUCCCUCAAGUGCCAGUGCCUCCCAGGGGAGGGGAGCCUGCAGGCCUAACAGGCAACCAUCUUCCUCUACCUCACAGUGCCCUUUGAUGGAGUCUUCCUCUUUCUUAUUGACUUGCAUGCAGUGGUAUUGGCUCCUUCAUGUCUUCUUCUUCCUGUGGAUGUCAAAGUGAAGAACGUCACAGUCCCUUGUGCAAUGUGAAGAAUGUGAACACAGAAGGCGUGUGCUUAGUACAGGAAAGAGACAUGAAGACAGUGAUCUGCUCUUGGUCUUUUGCCGUUCCCCAGAAUGGAUGUAACUAAGCCGGUGACGGGGGCUGGUGGUGCAAUUCAAUUGCCAGCCACUUGUCUAGGCUGCAGGAAGACCUGGACUCAGCACUGUAGAGACCCUAGUGGUAUAUUACUGCAAUUAUGGCACUAAGAUGAAGUGUCGGGGAGGCAGUAGAAUCAGGAGCUCAAGGUCUUCUUUGACUAUGUAACAAGUUCAAGGACAGGCUAGGUUUCAGGAGACUUUUCCUUGAGGAAAAAACACAACAUUUCAAAACCCAAACAGUUAACAGAUUAACUCAUGCCUUAACAUGAACAAUUGCAGACAGAAGUGCCUAAAACUGUGAAGGGAAAGAAGUGUCUGCUUUAGAAGUGUCUGUUUUCUCUAUUUUCUCCCUACAGUUGGUAGUUGGGCAUUUUCCUUAGGCAUGCAUUGCAAGGCUAAAGUCUACCUUAAAGAAUGUGGCCUUCUUCUGUAGACAAGCACUCUUGUAGUUCCUCAGUCCCAGACUGCAGUGGGCUGGCCCACCCAGAAAAGCCUGCCCCUGGGUAGACUGACAGGAGAGAGGAAGACGCUGAGUCGACAGCUCCUUUGACUUCCCUGAGGAACUUUCAGUGACUUGCCCAGCAGUCAGGUGGAGGUGCUUGGGGCAGUGCUGAUGCUCAGGCAAACGCUCCUACAGCAGAGUGAGCGCACAGGUCCUCCUGUGCCUGGAUCCUUGGUCCAAGUCUCCUCACGCGGCUCAACUUUACGUCUGUGUCAGAAGAACGUCAAGACCAAUUGCCACUUCUUUUUUUUCUCAGAGUCCUCACCCAACAUAAGGUCAGUACCUCAAAUGUCCAAAGAGGCAAAUUUCAAGGACAAUGCAGGAUAAACAAGCUUGAGGACAAAGACCUUUCUUUUCUACCAGCACUGCUUGUGUGGCUCCUUCUGAUCCCCGCAGAACUGCAUGAGAAUGGGAGCCAGGGAUGCAAGGGCUGUGUGCAGGCUGGCGGAGAGUCACCUCUGUCUCUUUGACUAUUGGCCUUGGGUAUGAGAGGCUCGGUUUCCUCACUUGGAGAAUAAGGUAUUGAGUGUAUGAAUACAUGCAUUGCUAUAGAUUUUUGAAAUUUCACACGUGACUGUCUAUAUUUUUAGGAUUUAAGAAAUAUUUCUGAAAUUUAAAGGUAGAGAUUCUUAAUUCAUUUUCCUUUAAAGAUGUGAUAUUUUAAUACGUCUUGAAUCCCUGCUUGUAGUUUCAUGCUAUUCUGAUGUGUUCAUGGAAACAGCUCUUUCCCUUCCCCUCCCUCCCUCCCUUCCUUCCUCCCUCUCUCCCCCUCCCUCUUGUCUUCCUUACCUUCCUCUCUCUCCUCUUCUUUCUUGCGUUGCUGAGAUAGAGCUUCAUGAAGCCCAUGCUGGCCCCACACUUGCUGUCUAGCUGCUGAAGAUGACCUCAAACUUGUGGUAGUCUUUACCCCUGCCUCCCCAGUGUAAGAUUACAGACAUACAGCCCCCUGUCCCAGGAUGUAUAAUGUGAAGGAUCUCUAUGCAUGCUAGCCAAGCACUCUGCCAACUGAGUCAUGCCCCAGCCCCAGAUCUUUCAUAUUUUCAGUUAUGCCCUUGACUGUAUCAGAUGUUCUAGCAGCUCAUGGGUAAGCCUCAGCUAACCUUGCAUUUGCUUUUGGGUCCUUUUGGCCGGGCUGCCUGCACUGCAGCUGACAGUGCUAGGCUUUCACUGUCCUUCUAUGCUGGUCGCUUGUGUUUUAUAAUUGACAGGCUGCAGUAGAGAAAGGAGUGAGAGAAAGAAUGUUUAAGUCAUGUGCUUUGCCUGCAGGCCAUAAUUUUGGAACAGGAAGGAAGGGACCGGGAUGGCUGAGAAGACUUGCUUUAGGGCAAAUAGCCCAAAUCUCAGUUCAAACAAGAUAAGGGCUGCAGAGAUAGAAUCCGAAGAUAAAGGUGUUUUCCCCUGGACUGCUGUUAAUGCCUUAAAUGUGUGGGAGAUUUCCCUGGGCUUUUAUUCCCCCAAGGUCCUUGCAAGACAAAGUCUCUUAGUUACAGGGAAAACCUUCGACUAUAGACAGCCCUUGGUCCCCAAAUUCUCAGGAGUCAAACGUUUUCAAGCACAGAAUUCUUGGGCAAACACAUCCUGUGCCUCCCGAGUGGAAGUGAUGCUCAGUGCUAAGCAGAAAGCUUUACAGAUGCUGCUGAAGGUCAAAUGAAGGUAGAGAAACCUCAACACAGCACGAGGCAUCACCCAACUGCAAACUAAUUGGGAAGGAAAUGGUUUCAAACUGACAGACUGUGGCCUGUAACUGAAACCUCACAGGGACAAAAGGUUCCUGCCAUUUAAAGGGGUAGCGGUGCCUAUUUCAACUGUGCAAACAAAAGAAAUGAAACCCCCUCGCGAGCUGGGAGGUUCUAUUAGCAGAUAUUACAUCCUUGCUUUUAUGCCCUCCUGUGUCACAAACCCUGAACAUGUGCCAUGUGUCCUGAGGCACUCAUUGGUUAAUUUACUUAUUCCGAGUACAGCAACAGCAACAGCAAAGGCAACAGCAAAGGCAACAGAGAAGCCCCCAAACGACAUGAACGUGGUGGCCCAGGCAGCAUUAAGAUGCGGCACACAGUUUGGAUAGGUGGGGUUUGAUCUGAAACUGUACACAUGUUAAACUCCAGAGAAAGUGAGAUGCUUAUAAUGGUCCUUCAGGGAAUUAAAAAAUAAAAACAUUGUUGGAAAUUUCACCAUAUUGAGAAGCAAAGACGAGUUGUGCAAAGUCAUGUACUUUUCUGGGCCAAGGGCAGCCAUUUGGGGCUGGCUUUAAUCAAUGUUCUAAGGAAGGCCACUGGAAGAGGCCAAUUUUUCUAUCAUACAGAUGUGGUGAGAAUUAUGGACUUAAUUAUAUCCUCCGAAGUUCCUCUGACGGUCUACAAAAGCAGUUGUGUAUGUGACCCU
rnacentral:lncRNA from 1 species